GACGAACCGUCCUAACGUUGUUCGGAAUCACUGGGCUUAAAGGGCGCGUAGGCGGCUUGCCAAGUCAGGGGUGAAAUCCUGCAGCUUAACUGUAGAAGGGCCUUUGAUACUGGCGAGCUCGAGGGAGGUAGGGGUAUGUGGAACUUCCGGUGGAGCGGUGAAAUGCGUUGAUAUCGGAAGGAACGCCGGUGGCGAAAGCGACGUACUGGACCUCUUCUGACGCUGAGGCGCGAAGGUCAGGGGAGCAAACGGG
rnacentral:rRNA from 1 species